GACGAACGCUGGCGGCGUGCCUAAUACAUGCAAGUCGAACGAACUCUGGUAUUGAUUGGUGCUUGCAUCAUGAUUUACAUUUGAGUGAGUGGCGAACUGGUGAGUAACACGUGGGAAACCUGCCCAGAAGCGGGGGAUAACACCUGGAAACAGAUGCUAAUACCGCAUAACAACUUGGACCGCAUGGUCCGAGCUUGAAAGAUGGCUUCGGCUAUCACUUUUGGAUGGUCCCGCGGCGUAUUAGCUAGAUGGUGGGGUAACGGCUCACCAUGGCAAUGAUACGUAGCCGACCUGAGAGGGUAAUCGGCCACAUUGGGACUGAGACACGGCCCAAACUCCUACGGGAGGCAGCAGUAGGGAAUCUUCCACAAUGGACGAAAGUCUGAUGGAGCAACGCCGCGUGAGUGAAGAAGGGUUUCGGCUCGUAAAACUCUGUUGUUAAAGAAGAACAUAUCUGAGAGUAACUGUUCAGGUAUUGACGGUAUUUAACCAGAAAGCCACGGCUAACUACGUGCCAGCAGCCGCGGUAAUACGUAGGUGGCAAGCGUUGUCCGGAUUUAUUGGGCGUAAAGCGAGCGCAGGCGGUUUUUUAAGUCUGAUGUGAAAGCCUUCGGCUCAACCGAAGAAGUGCAUCGGAAACUGGGAAACUUGAGUGCAGAAGAGGACAGUGGAACUCCAUGUGUAGCGGUGAAAUGCGUAGAUAUAUGGAAGAACACCAGUGGCGAAGGCGGCUGUCUGGUCUGUAACUGACGCUGAGGCUCGAAAGUAUGGGUAGCAAACAGGAUUAGAUACCCUGGUAGUCCAUACCGUAAACGAUGAAUGCUAAGUGUUGGAGGGUUUCCGCCCUUCAGUGCUGCAGCUAACGCAUUAAGCAUUCCGCCUGGGGAGUACGGCCGCAAGGCUGAAACUCAAAGGAAUUGACGGGGGCCCGCACAAGCGGUGGAGCAUGUGGUUUAAUUCGAAGCUACGCGAAGAACCUUACCAGGUCUUGACAUACUAUGCAAAUCUAAGAGAUUAGACGUUCCCUUCGGGGACAUGGAUACAGGUGGUGCAUGGUUGUCGUCAGCUCGUGUCGUGAGAUGUUGGGUUAAGUCCCGCAACGAGCGCAACCCUUAUUAUCAGUUGCCAGCAUUAAGUUGGGCACUCUGGUGAGACUGCCGGUGACAAACCGGAGGAAGGUGGGGAUGACGUCAAAUCAUCAUGCCCCUUAUGACCUGGGCUACACACGUGCUACAAUGGAUGGUACAACGAGUUGCGAACUCGCGAGAGUAAGCUAAUCUCUUAAAGCCAUUCUCAGUUCGGAUUGUAGGCUGCAACUCGCCUACAUGAAGUCGGAAUCGCUAGUAAUCGCGGAUCAGCAUGCCGCGGUGAAUACGUUCCCGGGCCUUGUACACACCGCCCGUCACACCAUGAGAGUUUGUAACACCCAAAGUCGGUGGGGUAACCUUUUAGGAACCAGCCGCCUAAGGUGGGACAGAUGAUUAGGGUGAAGU
rnacentral:rRNA from 3 species